rnacentral:rRNA from 1 species
UCGUGGCGUGAGUCGUCUGCUUAAUUGCGAUAACGAGCGAGACUCCAACUGCUAAAUACCGCCUUGGUUAUUACUGCCUUGCGUGGUUCUUAGCUGGAUUCGCGGCUUCAAGUCGCAAGAAAUGGAGCAAUAACA